ACUUCAAACGGGCUCGUCAUCGCGGAUGGCGAUCGGCUACGAUGGCCGUGAUUGAUCGUGCCCUACCGCUGGGUAGACACGCCAGCGGAGUGCGCAUACAACCAGGUGCACAGAAAACUGGAAAAAAAAACCCGUGUGCUGGCUGCCGAGCCUGCG